rnacentral:tRNA from 1 species
GGGCCAUUAGCUCAUUUGGUAGAGCGCCGCCUUUGCAAGGCGGAGGCGACCGGUUCGAAUCCGGUAUGGUCCACCA